UUGUAGGUUUUCAUUGAUGAUGGCCAGUAUUUCUCACCGGUUUCAAUCAAUUGUUAGCGACAGCAAUUAUCAGUAAAAAUCUUUUAUGCAUAAGAGGUGAUGCUCUGGUGUGAAAUAAAAGAGCUUUUGUGCAUGAUUUCAACUAUGUUGAAUGUUAACUUCAUCUUUUUGUGGUUAUAAUUCGUCGAUGCAAUGACAAAGGGAGGAACAUUUUGUUGCCUCAACUUGAUAGCCUUCUUGCUUUUGAGAAUCUGCUAUGCGGACGAUCGUUUAUAAUUCGCAACAAAGGCUUUGGAGAACUGCGUGUUGAAUCUCUUAGCACAAAAGACCAUGAGAAGGAAAGGAAAGCGCUCCGAGUCCUUCUGGCCUUCGAUUGUUAUGCGAAAGUGGCUCAACAUAAAGCCGAAGCUGCAUGAGUUCAGUGAAGAUGAAGUCGACACCGAGAGCGAGGAUGACGAAGCGAGGAACACCGGAGAGGAUACCUUGUUAAAUAUGUUGACAAUAAAGGGUGAAUCGCCGACUGAACCAUCAGGAAUGCAAACGAAGGCUCCUUCGCAAGGCCUUCGGAGAGGAAAAUCAGAAACCUUGCGUGUUAAUUACAUAAGCAUAAAGGAUGUGAGGGUGAUGAUUGGAACAUGGAAUGUUGCUGGAAGGGUCCCAUUUGAAGAUCUUGAGCUUGAUGAGUGGCUUUGUUCGAACGAACCAGUAGACAUGUAUAUUCUUGGCUUCCAGGAAGUAGUUCCUUUGAACGCCGGGAAUGUACUCGGAGCCGAGGAUAACAGGCCAAUACCCAAGUGGGAAGAUAUAAUUCGUCGAACCCUUAACAAAUUCCCGCAGCCGAAGUCACUCUGUAAAAGUUACAGCGCUCCUCCCUCACCAGUAUCGCGCCCUUUAACUCCUCAUCCUACACUGCAAAACAAAUGCGCGAGCAAUGCAAUUGAUCAAGAGAUUCAAGAUGAUCUAACUAUCUUACAGAAGAAGUUGCAGUGGAAGAGAAUAGGUGCGAAUAACGGCGUGAAUAAGUUAGAUUGGCCCGAGUAUUCAUUAGACACGCUGCCGCCACAAGCUCAAACAUCAGGCACAAAACUGAGGAGAGCGUUGAGUAGCUUGCAUAGGCAUCCGCAUGAUACCGACAUACCACAUAAAAUUGGGUUAAAGAGGGUGUACCAUAGCUUGGGGAAUCUCGGAAUGCUUUGGUCGGAACAGCAGGAAACAAUAGAUGUGCUGAAUUCGAUAGAUGAUACUUCUGAUAAGGUAUCUGAAGACGAAGAAGAGGGUUUAUCAGUUGCAUUAGCGAAUGUGACGGACAAAGGUGAAGUUAUAAGUAAGAGAGAAUGCUCGAAGCCGCGAGCUAGAUUUGUUCGGAUUGGAAGUAAACAGAUGGUUGGUAUUUACAUCUCAGUGUGGGUGUGCAGAAAGCUGCGGAGGCAUGUGAAUAACUUGGAGGUUUCUCCAGUUGGGGUUGGACUCAUGGGCUACAUGGGCAACAAGGGUUCAGUGUCAGUGAGCAUGACUCUUUUCCAAACGAGAUUGUGCUUUGUUUGUUCUCAUCUCACUUCUGGGCAUAAGGUUGGGGACCAGCAGAAAAGGAACGCUGACGUGAAUGACAUUUUACAGCGAACGCGGUUCUCUUCUGUACAGGAUGCCGAUAAGCCACAGACAAUUCCGUCGCACGACCGAAUUUUCUGGUUCGGAGAUCUUAAUUAUCGCCUUAAUUUAUCGGACGCCGAGGUGAGGGCUCUUGUGGCUAUGAAACAGUGGGAUGAGCUAAUCAACUAUGAUCAGCUAACCAAGGAGCUAAAAAGUGGGAGAAUAUUUGAAGGUUGGAAAGAGGGGUUAAUUAAUUUCCCUCCUACUUACAAGUAUGAGAGAAACUCCAACAGAUAUGUGGGAGAAAGUAGUAGAGAAGGGGAAAAAAGGAGGUCACCUGCAUGGUGCGAUCGCAUACUCUGGUUAGGAAAGGGGAUAAGACAACUUUCAUAUUGGAGGUCGGAGCUAGACCUUUCCGAUCAUCGGCCCGUCGGGUCGAUGUUUUCCGUCGAGGUGGAAGUGUUCAAUCGGAGGAAACUCGAAAGAGUUCUUGUACUGCUUCCUUAGGAGGAGUAAAGUUUUCGCAUUGAAUCGACACGAUAAGAUGAUAUGAAAGAGCAUUCAUGAAGGGUACCAACCUCUUAUAUCUAUGCACAGAAGAAGUUGGAUAUGAUUCUGUUGCUAAUGAAAGAAACCCUAAUUUGCCCAAUUUUUUUGUUAAUCUUUUUCUCCUUUUUGUUUUGGUUUUGUUUUUGUUUUUGUUUCUUAAUUUCAUACAUGCUUCUUGUUAAUUGUGUGGUACAUAUGUAUAUCCAAUUUUUUAUAUUUAAAUUGGACAUGAAGUUGUAAGGUUUUGUUUACAUCAUUGUGUAUGACAUCUACAUGUGAAAUGCCUCUUGUGUAAACAUGGACAUGCACAAAAACAUGUAUAUAACAUGUAUAUAAUAUAUAAAUGCUUCCCCUAGAGUCA